rfam:Zea mays cultivar B73 chromosome 1, whole genome shotgun sequence.
ACUCAUUUUCAGUCUUUUGGCUAAGAUCAAGUGUAAUAUUUGUUUUACCAGUUCAAUAUCUGGUAUAUGAACAACUUUGACAUUAAAUUCAUUUAUUAUGGGUAGUUUUAUGUGGAGGGUCCAUUAACACUCUCAAGUGAUGCUUAGUCACCUAAUCAAUAUCAUCAAAUAUGGUUGGGUACCGUCGCAACGCAC